rnacentral:rRNA from 1 species
GAUGAACGCUGGCGGCGUGCCUAAUACAUGCAAGUCGAGCGAACAGACGAGGAGCUUGCUCCUCUGACGUUAGCGGCGGACGGGUGAGUAACACGUGGAUAACCUACCUAUAAGACUGGGAUAACUUCGGGAAACCGGAGCUAAUACCGGAUAAUAUAUUGAACCGCAUGGUUCAAUAGUGAAAGACGGUUUUGCUGUCACUUAUAGAUGGAUCCGCGCCGCAUUAGCUAGUUGGUAAGGUAACGGCUUACCAAGGCAACGAUGCGUAGCCGACCUGAGAGGGUGAUCGGCCACACGGGAACUGAGACACGGACCAGACUCCUACGGGAGGCAGCAGUAGGGAAUCUUCCGCAAUGGGCGAAAGCUUGACGGAGCAACGCCGCGUGAGUGAUGAAGGUCUUCGGAUCGUAAAACUCUGUUAUUAGGGAAGAACAAAUGUGUAAGUAACUAUGCACGUCUUGACGGUACCUAAUCAGAAAGCCACGGCUAACUACGUG